rnacentral:rRNA from 14 species
UUGUCUUAAGAGGACACUUUGCUUCUUAAAUGGACAAAAUGCGUCUAGCAUUAUGAGAUUGAGCAAUAACAGGUCUGUGAUGCCCUUAGAUGUCCUGAACCGCACGCGUGUUACACUGAUGCAUUCAACGAGCUUAUAACCUUGGCCGAGAGGCCUGGGGAAUCUUGUUAAUGUGCAUCGUGAUAGGGAUAGAUUAUUGCAAUUAUUAAUCUUGAACGAGGAAUUCCUAGUAAACGCAGAUCAUCAAUCUGCAUUGAUUACGUCCCUGCCCUUUGUACACACCGCCCGUCGCACCUACCGAUUGAAUGGUCCGGUGAAGCCUCGGGAUUGUGGUCAUGUUCCUUUAUUGGAUUGUGACUGUGAGAACUUGUCUAAACCUUAUCAUUUAGAGGAAGGUGAAGUCGUAACAAGGUUUCCGUAGGUGAACCUGCGGAAGGAUCAUU